rnacentral:lncRNA from 1 species
CUUCCAGCCCUCCGUUCAUCUAAAUCUGGAGCCUCUGGGGACGGGCAUAGCUGGCUUAUUUCCACCCAGCAUCUUGGAACAGUCCAGGCUCGUAUUCCCUUUAGACUUUUGGUGCAUAAACAACAACCCUGUGGGAGGAUUGGCAAGACUAGAUUCCUUCUCAGACUGAUUCCCCAGGGUCGCUGGUGUUCCCAGGUGUCACAACCUGCCUGCAGAGCCCAGCCUACCUGCAGAGAGGACUGGAACCUCCUGCUGAACCUUGGAGGACAGGAACUGCCUGAUGAACUGCCUGCCUCCCUCUCUGGACUGUCAUCCCCUUGAGAGCAGAUCCUCCUGCCAAGCAUAUGGUAACUGUUGGUGAAAUGCAUAUGGAGGGCUGGGCAUAUGGCUCAGGGUGGGGUACUUGUCUGGCAUGGGAGAGAUCCUGGGCUCCACUUCAGUACCACAAAAAAAAAAAAAAAAAAAAAAAAAAAAAAAUACAAAGAACAGGAAAGUGAUAGGUUUGGAAUGAACAGUUUCCCAGAGGAGAGCAAAACUC